AUUACCAAAAUCAACACCACGGAAGUUUGAAGGAAUAUUUAGUUCAUUGUUUUCAAACAAAAGGCAGCACAGCAGACAGUGGCUCUCUCGUUCAGAUAACCACCCACUCGCGACUUUUAUCGGAAGCAAAUGCUCGUGCUAUAGCAGGCGAAGCUGGUUUCCUAGGCUGGCAAUCACGAUGUAUAAGUCUUCAAGAAUUUCAUACGGAGCAACAAUUUGUCAAAACUUUGGACGAUUUCUUCAUCAAACUUG